rnacentral:rRNA from 1 species
CGCCAGACUCCUACGGGAGGCAGCAGUGAGGAAUAUUGGUCAAUGGCCGGAAGGCUGAACCAGCCAAGUCGCGUGAGGGAAUAAGGCCCUAUGGGUCGUAAACCUCUUUUGUCAGGGAGCAAUUGGCGCUACGUGUAGCGUUAUCGAGAGUACCUGAAGAAAAAGCAUCGGCUAACUCCGUGCCAGCAGCCGCGGUAAUACGGAGGAUGCGAGCGUUAUCCGGAUUUAUUGGGUUUAAAGGGUGCGUAGGCGGAAUGCCAAGUCAGGGGUAAAAUCGCGGGGCUCAACCUCGGUCCGCCGUUGAAACUGGCGUUCUUGAGUGGGCGAGAAGUAUGCGGAAUGCGUGGUGUAGCGGUGAAAUGCAUAGAUAUCACGCAGAACUCCGAUUGCGAAGGCAGCAUACCGGCGCCCAACUGACGCUGAAGCACGAAAGCGUGGGUAUCGAACAGGAUUAGAUACCCCCGUAAA